rnacentral:rRNA from 1 species
UGAAUACGAGACGCUAAGGCGUCGAAGUAGUGUAUAUCAAACUUCCAAGAAAAGCUUGCACUGUCAUAGAUAAAAAAUGCCUGUACCAUAACCGACACAGGUGGGUAGGUAGAGUAUACUAAGGUGCGCGAGAUAACUCUCUCUAAGGAACUCGGCAAAAUAACUCCGUAACUUCGGGAGAAGGAGUGCCUUAUUUAUAAGGUUGCAAUAACAAGAUCCAAGCAACUGUUUAUCAAAAACACAGGUCUCCGCUAAGUCGUAAGACGAUGUAUGGGGGCUGACGCCUGCCCAGUGCCAGAAGGUUAAAGAAGUUGGUUAGCAAUUGCGAAGCUGAUAACUGAAGCCCUGGUGAACGGCGGCCGUAACUAUAACAGUCCUAAGGUAGCGAAAUUCCUUGUCGGGUAAGUUCCGACCCGCACGAAAGGCGUAAUGAUUUGGAUACUGUCUCGGAGAGGGGCUCGGUGAAAUAGACUUGUCUGUGAAGAUGCGGACUACCUGCACCAGGACAGAAAGACCCUAUGAAGCUUUACUGUAACUUGAAAUUGAAAUUGGACUUUAUUCGCGCAGCAUAGGUGGGAGGCGUUGAUUAUAAUCUUGCGGGAUUAUUGGAGCCAUCAGUGAGAUACCACUCUUGUAAUGUUAGAUUUCUAACUUUGAAUCAUUAUCUGGUCAAAGAACAGUUUCAGGCGGGCAGUUUGACUGGGGCGGUCGCCUCCUAAAUGGUAACGGAGGCGUACAAAGGUUUCCUCUGAACGGUUAGGAAUCGUAUCUAGAGUGUAAAGGCAUAAGGAAGCUUGACUGUGAGACCUACAAGUCGAGCAGGGACGAAAGUCGGUCUUAGUGAUCUGACGGUACUGAGUGGAAAGGCCGUCACUCAACGGAUAAAAGUUACUCUAGGAUAACAGGCUGAUCUCCCCCAAGAGUUCACAUCGACGGGGAGGUUUGGCACCUCGAUGUCGGCUCAUCGCAUCCUGGGGCGGUAGUACGUCCCAAGGGUUGGGCUGUUCGCCCAUGAAAGCGGUACGCGAGCUGGGUUCAGAACGUCGUGAGACAGUUCGGUCCAUAUCCGGUGUAGGCGUUAGAAUAUUGAGAGGAGCCUUCUUUAGUACGAGAGGACCGAGAAGGACAUACCUCUGGUGUACCAGUUAUCGUGCCAACGGUAAACGCUGGGUAGCUAUGUAUGGAGUGGAUAACCGCUGAAAGCAUCUAAGUGGGAAGCCCACCUCAAGAUAAG